GCCCCGGUGACAGGAGCAUUCAGCACCCAGAGCCAUAAAUGAGCGAGUUGAGCGCCACAUAAGCACUCGCCUACAUUUUCUAAUAGAAGCACGGACUUUGGAACGCAGCCAAGAUGCCCGGAAAAGGUAAUAAAUCGGACAAGAAAUCAGCUACCAAGCAACCUCAGAGUCCUAAGGAACAGCCGAAGAAAGGUGAUCAGAAAGGAGAUGAUAACAAACAAAAGCAAGGAGGAGAGCCGAAGGGAGAGAAGCAAUAACUUCCAGGCAUUCGUAAAGAUGGCUUUGGAGACAUUGCUGGGAUCCUGCCACCGCAAGCAUGGGGGUCCUCCGGGCAGGCAAGGAUGAGAACAAGCUCUCCUCCCUUCCCCUCUUUUUUCCCGGACCUGCAGACAAGGCUUCUCUCUUGUCUAGUCUAACAACAGCACUCAUCUGGUCUCCUCACUCUGAGGCAGAACAUGAACUUGAUCUCCAUCCAUCACUGUUGUUCACCUACCCAGUGCCAGUCCCCUCACCUUCCAUCCUAUCUCCUUCCCUCCAACGCUCUGCUCUGGCCAGACUGAAGCUUGGGAAAACACACAACGUCAUGUCAUGCUCAGGAUCUGAGCUUUAAACUGAAACCUUAACCCAAACUGUCUUUCCCUAUCUUAGCCCCCCUCUCCUCCAAACUCCAUUAUUUGUCUAAUGGUCCAAUCCAUUUGUAUAAAUACAUAAGAUAAUAAAUGACUAUUUCAUAAAGCAG